AUGUAUGGCAUAAUAAAAAAAAUAAAAAAUAAUAACCUCCGUGCAUUUGUGUGGUGCGAUCUCAUUGGUGGGUGUUGGGUGUUGACGCGUCAAGGCCCCACGAAGAAGAAGAAGAAGAAGACGAAGAAUACGAGGGAAAAUAAGCAGGGAAAGUUAGACAAGGAGGAAAAAGAAGCGUGGAAAAUUAACUUGACCAAGCUGAAAAUGAAUCACCUUGACCCCGAAGAUGCCAUAUUCCUGGUUGAUGCAUUCCUGGAUGAGUGCAAGGUGGAUCAGCAUGGACAAACUAAAGGAGGUUCAAAACAAUCCACAAAGUUGUGUGUUUGGCCUGAUGAGGACAAAGAUGGUCAACCUCUGCCAAAAAGAUGUAGAGCUGGAGAGAAACGAAAGCGAGAUUCAGCUACUGUUUCUUCAGCAAGCGUUAAAAGCGUGUCCUGUGCUCCGUCUACCAGCACAACUGAAGACACAGUGAUCAUCGAAAAUUUUGACUCCCUCAUUCAAGAUGUCCGAGAACUCUUGGGAAGUGGUGAUGAACAGUCUUUCCCCUCAGAGUGGAGUAACAGGCAAACUACCUCUCUGGAGAAUUGGACAGUAAUGAGGCCCUUCAUGGUGAACAAUAUGUUGCCAUCUGAGAAGCCCAAGGAGGGGGUUUGCCAUCACUGUGGACACAAGGCUGCAGUAGUGAUGUGUAGGGACUGUUUACCACGAUCACUCUACUGCACAGCCUGUGACCUUUCCACACAUGAGGCCCUGGUGCUUCAUAACAGAGCAUCCAUGGUGGAGGGGUUCUUCAGACAACUGCAGCCAUCCACUUUUGUUCAGCAGCACGAGGGAGGGAAAUUCUCCUAUCAUGAAAAAGAUUGCAUGUUACCAAUCGUUCCUCCCUGCUGCGACUGCUCCACUGGGCAAACAAGCUUUUCCAAGGGAAAGCCAGUUAUUUUAAUUGGAAUGAAUGGAAGAUACAACCUCUUCCUUCCAUCAGUAAACUGCUCCUGUGGAAAAACCUUGCCAGUGACCAUAAGUGAUCUGGUUGAAAGUGGUUACUGGCCAGCCACUGUCAAUUUUGAGACCUUGUACAUGGUGGACUUGUUCACCACGUAUGAGGAUCUAAAAAUCACUGCCCCAGGGAUGUCCAGACAAGCUUUUGUCAGCAUGCUCGAGUGUCGUACAAAACUCUUCGGGCGAGUGAGUGGACUCAUCAUUUAG
rnacentral:lncRNA from 1 species